rnacentral:rRNA from 1 species
ACGCAAUCUACCCUUCACUGGGGAAUAGCCCGAAGAAAUUCGGAUUAAUACCCCAUAAAAUGGCAAGUAGGCAUCUGCUAACCAUUAAAGUUCCGGCGGUGAAGGAUGAGCGUGCGUCCCAUUAGGUAGUUGGUAGGGUAACGGCCUACCAAGCCGACGAUGGGUAGCUGGUGUGAGAGCACGACCAGCCACACGGGCACUGAGACACGGGCCCGACUCCUACGGGAGGCAGCAGUGAGGAAUAUUGGUCAAUGGACGAAAGUCUGAACCAGCCAUGCCGCGUGGAGGAUGAAGGCCCUCUGGGUUGUAAACUUCUUUUAUCAGGGAAGAGAAGUACUAUUUCUAUGGUAUCCGACGGUACCUGAUGAAUAAGCACCGGCUAACUCCGUGCCAGCAGCCGCGGUAAUACGGAGGGUGCAAGCGUUAUCCGGAUUUACUGGGUUUAAAGGGUGUGUAGGCGGACUUUUAAGUCAGAGGUGAAAUCUCCGAGCUCAACUCGGAAACUGCCCCUGAUACUAUUGGUCUUGAAUAUCGUUGAGGCAGGCGGAAUACAUCAUGUAGCGGUGAAAUGCUUAGAUAUGAUGUAGAACACCGAUUGCGAAGGCAGCUUGCUAAACGAUCAUUGACGCUGAGGCACGAAAGCGUGGGGAUCAAACAGGAUUAGAUACCCUGG